rnacentral:rRNA from 1 species
GACGAACGCUGGCGGCGUGCUUAACACAUGCAAGUCGAACGGAAAGGCCCUGCUUUUGUGGGGUGCUCGAGUGGCGAACGGGUGAGUAACACGUGAGUAACCUGCCCUUGACUUUGGGAUAACUUCAUGAAACUUGGGCUAAUACCGGAUAGGAGCUCCUGCUGCAUGGUGGGGGUUGGAAAGUUUCGGCGGUUGGGGAUGGACUCGCGGCUUAUCAGCUUGUUGGUGGGGUAGUGGCUUACCAAGGCUUUGACGGGUAGCCGGCCUGAGAGGGUGACCGGCCACAUUGGGACUGAGAUACGGCCCAGACUACUACGGGAGGCAGCAGUGGGGAAUAUUGCACAAUGGGCGGAAGCCUGAUGCAGCAACGCCGCGUGCGGGAUGACGGCCUUCGGGUUGUAAACCGAUUUCGCCUGUGACGAAGAGUGAGUGACGGUAAUGGGUAAAGAAGCACCGGCUAACUACGUG